rnacentral:tRNA from 1 species
GUGGUAAUUCAACUACAAAAACA